AUGGGAGUUUCCCUGCACGAGCUCUCUUCUCUUUGCCUACUGCCAUCCAUUUAAGACAUGACUUGCUCCUCCUUCCCUUCCACCACGAUUGUGAGGCUUCCCCAGCCAUGUGGAACUAUUGUCACACUAGGUAUAUUAAGUGUGUGUGAGAGAAGAAGGACAACAUACUCCCUGAGACUAGGAAAUCCUGAAGUGCUCUUCAGACGAAGAUACCUGGACAACACCAAAUCAAUAAACAGGCAAAUGUUAAGUACACUUACAGAGGUUACAUACGGUAGAGGAAAGAAUACUGUAUCAUCAAGGAUUCUCCCAUUUCAAUUCCUUAAAGUGGAAUAAGAACUUAAACCCUCAGGAAAGAGACUGUGAAAUUCUAAUGUUUACUCUAUCAUUAGUGAUGUCACCUUUGCCAAAGCAUCUAACAUUUGUAAGUGUUGUCUUCCCUACAAACUGUCCCUACUUGCUCUUCCCCUCCCAAGGCUGGGAUAGAUGGAACCCUUUGAUUCCUUUACAUCUUAAUCCUAUCUCUAUUACCUGAACUAUUAAAUUGCUUUAUAAUUACUGUGCAUAUAUUUGCCUCUUGCACCACCAAGUUUCUCGAGAUCAGAGCCAAUGUCUUAUGCCU
rnacentral:lncRNA from 1 species